AGUGAACGCUGGCGGUAGGCCUAACACAUGCGAGUCGAACGGCAGCACAGUAAGAGCUUGCUCUUACGGGUGGCGAGUGGCGGACGGGUGAGGAAUACAUCGGAAUCUACUUUUUCGUGGGGGAUAACGUAGGGAAACUUACGCUAAUACCGCAUACGACCUACGGGUGAAAGCAGGGGAUCUUCGGACCUUGCGCGAUUGAAUGAGCCGAUGUCGGAUUAGCUAGUUGGCGGGGUAAAGGCCCACCAAGGCGACGAUCCGUAGCUGGUCUGAGAGGAUGAUUAGCCACACUGGAACUGAGACACGGUCCAGACUCCUACGGGAGGCAGCAGUGGGGAAUAUUGGACAAUGGGCGCAAGCCUGAUCCAGCCAUACCGCGUGGGUGAAGAAGGCCUUCGGGUUGUAAAGCCAUUUUGUUGGGAAAGAAAAGCAGCAGGUUAAUACCCCGCUGUUCUGACGGUACCCAAAGAAUAAGCACCGGCUAACUUCGUG
rnacentral:rRNA from 1 species